rnacentral:rRNA from 1 species
UACUCAAGCUAUUAGAGUUUGAUCAUGGCUCAGAUUGAACGCUGGCGGCAUGCUUUACACAUGCAAGUCGAACGGGGUGGGGGGCAACUCCCAUUCAGUGGCGAACGGGUGAGUAAUGCAUCGGAACGUGUCCCGUAGUGGGGGAUAACGCCGCGAAAGCGGCGCUAAUACCGCAUACGCUCUACGGAGGAAAGCAGGGGAUCGCAAGACCUUGUGCUAAGGGAGCGGCCGAUGUCCGAUUAGGUUGUUGGUGGGGUAAUGGCUUACCAAGCCUGCGAUCGGUAGCUGGUCUGAGAGGAUGAUCAGCCACACUGGGACUGAGACACGGCCCAGACUCCUACGGGAGGCAGCAGUGGGGAAUUUUGGACAAUGGGGGCAACCCUGAUCCAGCCAUGCCGCGUGCGGGAAGAAGGCCUUCGGGUUGUAAACCGCUUUUAGCCGGGACGAAAGCUUCACGGAUAACACCCGUGAGGGUUGACGGUACCGGCGGAAUAAGCACCGGCUAACUACGUGCCAGCAGCCGCGGUAAUACGUAGGGUGCGAGCGUUAAUCGGAAUUACUGGGCGUAAAGCGUGCGCAGGCGGUUCGUUGUGUCGGUGGUGAAAUCCCCGGGCUUAACCUGGGAAUGGCCGUCGAAACUGGCGAACUUGAGUGUGGCAGAGGGGGGUGGAAUUCCGCGUGUAGCAGUGAAAUGCGUAGAGAUGCGGAGGAGCACCGAUGGCGAAGGCAGCCCCCUGGGCUGACACUGACGCUCAGGCACGAAAGCGUGGGGAGCAAACAGGAUUAGUUAACGCGUGAAGUUGACCAAU